rnacentral:rRNA from 1 species
CCCUUAGAUGUUCUGGGCCGCACGCGCGCUACACUGAUGCAUUCAACGAGUUUCUUCCUGGUCCGAGAGGAAUGGGUAACCUUUUGAAAGUGCAUCGUGAUAGGGAUAGACUAUUGCAAUUAUUGGUCUUCAACGAGGAAUUCCUAGUAGACGUAGUUCAUCAGACUGCAUCGAUUACGUCCCUGCCCUUUGUACACACCGCCCGUCGCUCCUACCGAUUGAAUGCUCAGGUGAGCCAUUCGGACUUUCAUCAUGCUGGUUUCCAGUUUUGAUGAAGGAAAGUCUUGCGAACCUUAUCAUUUAGAGGAAGAAGAAGUCGUAACA